AUGUAUUAGGCUGUUCUUGCAUAUACAUUAAAAUUGGAACGAUUUUUUAUGCAUGGCCCUGUGCAAGGAUGACACGCAAAUUUGUGAAGCGUUCUGUAUGUUU
rnacentral:snRNA from 1 species